UGACAUGUAGGGAAGAACCAUAGAGAUAUGGUGUCCUUCGGGGCCCUACACAGUUGGUGCAUGGCUGUCGUCAGCUCGUGUCGUGAGAUGUUGGGUUAAGUCCCGCAACGAGCGCAACCCUUAUCCUAUGUUGCCAGCGGAUUAUGCCGGGGACUCGUAGGAGACUGCCGGGGUCAACUCGGAGGAAGGUGGGGACGACGUCAAGUCAUCAUGCCCCUUAUAUCCAGGGCUGCAAACAUGCUACAAUGGCCGGUACAGAGGGCUGCAAGACCGCGAGGUUGAGCGAAUCCCAUAAAGCCGGUCUCAGUUCGGAUUGGAGUCUGCAACUCGACUCCAUGAAGGCGGAGUCGCUAGUAAUCCCGGAUCAGCUACGCCGGGGUGUAUACGUUCCCGGGCCUUGUACACACCGCCCGUCACAACCACGUAAGUCGGCUACACCCGAAGUCAGUGGCCCAACUCUUUGAGGGGGAGCUGCCGAAGGUGGGGUUGGUAAUUGGGGUGAAGUCGUAACAAGGUAACC
rnacentral:rRNA from 1 species